rnacentral:lncRNA from 1 species
AUAAAGUUCAAUCCCUUCAUCACCUUAGACCACAGCCAAAACUGCAAAUGUCACUUCACUGGCCCCUCACAUGUGCACAGGAACAUCUUGCCGUCCCUGCUCUCCCAGCAUGAUAUCCCAGCAAGGAGCUGAAGCAGAAGCACAGUGUCCACUCCAUGCCCAUCCUCAAGGAUAAAGAGGUCCAGGUGGUUGGAAGACACUACAAAGGUCAGCAAAUCAGCAAGGUGGUCCAGAUGUACAUAAAUAAAUGUCAUCUACACGGAGUGGGUGCAUUGUGAGAAGAACCAAUGGGACCGCCGUCUUUGUGGGCAUUCGCCCGAGCCAGGUGGUUAUCACAGGCUAAAGCUGGACAAGAAAUGGGAAAAAGUUCUUGAGUGCAAAGCCAAGUCUUGACAAGUCAGAAAAGAGAAAGGCAAACAUAAGGAAGAACUUACUGCGAAAAUACAGG